CUGAAGUGAGCCAAAGGAAAAUUAUGCUGGGGCGGUUUAGUGAUCCAUGUCCUGCUGGCAUUCCUCCAAAGCCAUGUAGUCACUGGAUGCAGAGCAGUAUUGAAAAUACCAACCCAAACAGGGAAUUGAUAGCAAUACACUGAAAAACUUGCCUAGAAGUUCAAACUUAGAUCUUGGAUUUCAGUACGUAUGUAAAACAUAUUUUUCCCCAAACUUCUGGACUCUUGAAUAUUAGUAGAGAAAUGGAAAUUUUCCUUGUUGCAAACUACAAGUGCAAAAGAUGUUAAAAAAGUUACAGCUCGUAUUAUAUUUUAUUUUGUGAAUACUAUAUACCAUGUACUGUGUGUAUAUUGUUCGUAUUUGAGAGGUACAUUAUAGUUUGGUUAUGAGAGUACAUAACUUUGCCUUGCCCAAAUGGUAGGUGUUUUGUAUAUAUGCAAUGGAGAUAUUUUAAGUGUGUGCUGAGACAUGUGGAAGACCAGUUUAUUUGCACAGAGCACCAAGAAAGUUUUCAAGAAAUAGCUGUCGAAUCUCAAGCUUUUGUUUCAGAUCCUACAGAUAAGGCCCACCCUCGAUCCAGGGACAACAGCCGACCUCCUGGGGCACUGCUAAAGAUUACUGCCUGGACAAGUGGAGGCAUCGGGCCUUCGUGUUACAGGGAGAGACAGACGACCACCCUCCCCUGGAAACAGCUAACUGCCCAGGGCAGGAAUGUUGCAGUUUCUUCUACCCAAUCCUCCCUGAACUUCAAAACCCCUCACCGCACCUUGUUUAUUCCCUGCUAUAAAAACAUUGGCCUGGAAAGAAAAGAUAAGACAGUUCUUUUGGGUGUGAACCGGCCCUCUUCUCAGAUCACAGACCAUCUGAAUAAAGAGCCCAUAAAGAUUCAA